ACCAGUUUUACGUGAAAACAUCAGUUUUGGGGAGAAACCAAGAACAAGGGAGAGAAGAGCAAGAGGAACCAAGGAAACUGAAUUGCUGUGCGGUUUUCUUCUGAAUUAAGGUGAUUCCGAGUAGUAGGUGUGGUGGCUCAACUGUCUAGGGCUCUGAUAUGUACGGGAUGGGAAUUAGUUAUCUUUAUUUUCAUUCCUUAUGUAUCAAUUUUGGAAUUAUGCUGUGGAGCCUUUUUAUUGUUAUUUGAACAAUGUUGUUGACUUUAUGUUGAGGCCUUUCGUGCCAUAAAAUGUUGUUGGAUGUUUACGAUGAUAAAGAUUUGAAAACUAUUCCGUUGCUAUGUUUUGAUAUUUUAUGAA